rnacentral:rRNA from 1 species
UACGUAGGCAGCGAGCGUUGUUCGGAAUUACUGGGCGUAAAGAGUGUGUAGGCGGUGCUCCCAGUCUGUUGUGAAAUCUCCCGGCUUAACUGGGAGGUGCAGCGGAAACUAGAGUGCUAGAGGGUGGGAGAGGUAAGCGGAAUUCCUGGUGUAGCGGUGAAAUGCGUAGAUAUCAGGAGGAACACCGAUGGCGAAGGCAGGUCUCUGGGCAUUAACUGACGCUGAGGAGCGAAAGCAUGGGGAGCGAACAGG